rnacentral:ncRNA from 17 species
ACACCAAAACUGAAAACGGAAGGCAAUCCUUCCACGACGAUACUUACUUUCCUUUGAUCGUCGUUACUACUGGCAUAGCCACAAAGGAGAACAAACAUG